rnacentral:rRNA from 1 species
CAGUAGCCGCGGUAAUACGUAGGUGGCGAGCGUUGUCCGGAAUUAUUGGGCGUAAAGGGCUCGCAGGCGGUUUCUUAAGUCUGAUGUGAAAGCCCCCGGCUCAACCGGGGAGGGUCAUUGGAAACUGGGAAACUUGAGUGCAGAAGAGGAGAGUGGAAUUCCACGCGUAGCGGUGAAAUGCGUAGAGAUGUGGAGGAACACCAGUGGCGAAGGCGACUCUCUGGUCUGUAACUGACGCUGAGGAGCGAAAGCGUGGGGAGCGAACAGGAUUAGAUACCCCAGUAGUCCCUGUCUCUUAUAC